AGGGGUGUAGCUCACUGGUAGAAUGCUUGCCUAGCAUGCAUGAGACACUGGGUUCUAUCCCCAGCAUCACAU
rnacentral:tRNA from 1 species